rnacentral:rRNA from 1 species
CUACGGGGGGCUCCAGUGGGGAAUAUUGGACAAUGGGCCACAAGCCUGAUCCAGCAAUUCUGUGUGCACGAUGAAGGUCUUCGGAUUGUAAAGUGCUUUCAGUUGGGAAGAAGAAAGUGACGGUACCAACAGAAGAAGCGACGGCUAAAUACGUGCCAGCAGCCGCGGUAAUACGUAUGUCGAAGCGUUAUCCGGAUUUAUUGGGCGUAAAGCGCGUCUAGGCGGAAAAAUAAGUCUGAUGUUAAAAUGCGGGGCUCAACUCCGUAUUGCGUUGGAAACUGUUUUUCUAGAGUACUGGAGAGGUGGGCGGAACUACAAGUGUAGAGGUGAAAUUCGUAGAUAUUUGUAGGAAUGCCGAUGGAGAAGUCAGCUCACUGGACAGAUACUGACGCUAAAGCGCGAAAGCGUGGGGAGCAAACAGGAUUAGAUACCCCGGUAGUC